rnacentral:rRNA from 1 species
UACGAAGGGGGCUAGCGUUGCUCGGAAUCACUGGGCGUAAAGCGCACGUAGGCGGCUUUUUAAGUCAGGGGUGAAAUCCUGGAGCUCAACUCCAGAACUGCCUUUGAUACUGGGAAGCUCGAGUCCGGGAGAGGUGAGUGGAACUCCGAGUGUAGAGGUGAAAUUCGUAGAUAUUCGGAAGAACACCAGUGGCGAAGGCGGUUCUCUGGGACGGUACUGACGCUGAGACGCGAAAGCGUGGGGAGCGAACAGG